rnacentral:tRNA from 1 species
UGCGGGGUGGAGCAGUUCGGUAGCUCGCGUGGCUCAUAACCACGAGGUCGCAGGUUCAAAUCCUGCCCACGCAACCA